rnacentral:rRNA from 1 species
UCUGUAAUUGGAAUGAUGGGAAUGUAAAACCCUUCCAGAGUAACAAUUGGAGGGCAAGUCUGGUGCCAGCAGCCGCGGUAAUUCCAGCUCCAAUAGUGUAUAUUAGAGUUGUUGCAGUUAAAAAGCUCGUAGUUGGAUUUCUGCUGUGGUCAUCCGGUACCGCCCGUAUGGGUGCGCACCUGGUUUGGCUGCGGCUUUCUUCCUGUAGCCGUCCGCGCUUAAUUGCGCGUGCUGUGUUACGGAACUUUUACUUUGAGAAAAAUAGAGUGUUUCAAGCAGGCUUGUCGCCCUGAAUACUUCAGCAUGGAAUAAUAGGAUAGGACCUUGGUUCUAUUUUGUUGGUUUCUAGGACCAAGGUAAUGAUUAAUAGGGACA